UAGAGUAAUAUAUCUCCACUGAAGUUAAAGUUUUGACCAGACUCUUCUGGCUACAAGUUAGGAUGCUUUCCCCAUGGGAGGCAGGGAUUAUUAUUAAAAAUUUGAAGGUAGAUCAAGCUGCUGCAUGAAACAAUCUUUUAACUGUCUUUUCAUUUUCCUUUUCACAGGAUUUUAAAAUCAGUCUCCAAAGAGCUGAACAAGCACAGUCAAUUGAUGGAGAAACCACAACAUUUAAAGACAUCAAAUGAUUCUCAGUCUUCUGAACUACAGUUUCAAGUAGUCUGAAAACUGCACAUAGCAAAAAGUUCAAAGUGGGGACUGUGUGACAGCCCAUCAGAACAGUGUUUCUAGAGCAUGAAUCUGAAGGUAUGUGUUGCAGCACUCACAGGUAAGGCCUGAGAGCAUGAAGUGGUGUUUGAGGAUGCAAUAACUACUGAAAUAGCAUUGGAGGUCUGUAGAGGGUGGACAGAAUCAAAACUAUUACAAUCCCAUUCAUACUUAAAUAUCAUUGUGGCAUUGUCCCUGAGGUGAACCAUAUACAGACUUUGUGUGAGAGAGAGUUAGAAUGGUCCUAAACAGAGCCAGGA
rnacentral:lncRNA from 1 species